GGUCCUAUAGCUCAGUUGGUUAGAGCGUCGUACUAAUAUAACUACCGGUUAUACAUAGUACAUGCGAAGGUCGGCGGUUCGACCCCGCCUGGGACCA